rnacentral:lncRNA from 1 species
AAAAUUUGGCGAAGGAGUUGGAUCAUUGUAUUUAAUGGGGUUAGAAACCAACCUGCAUAAUAAUUUGAUAUUUUGAUUUUAGAGAAGUGAAUUAUGUUUAUUUAUUUAUGUUUUUUGUGAUUAGCAUUUUCAGAAUAAGGCAAAAAGUAAAACAAAACAUCAUAGAUGUGGAUGAAUAGAAUUAUAUUUUAUUCAUGAUCAAAUUGAAAUGCCCAAACAAUGUUCGCUUCUCCCUUAGGCAUAGGAGAAGGAUUUUCAAAAAACAAAUAAAAGAAAUUACUUAGAUC